UACGGGGGGGGCAAGCGUUGUUCGGAAUUACUGGGCGUAAAGGGCGCGUAGGCGGCUUUUCAAGUCGGGCGUGAAAUCUCCGGGCUUAACCCGGAAGGGUCGUUCGAUACUGUUGAGCUAGAGUGUGGAAGAGGCAACUAGAAUUCCGUGUGUAGCGGUGAAAUGCGUAGAUAUACGGAGGAAUACCUGAGGCGAAGGCGGGUUGCUGGGCCAACACUGACGCUCAUGCACGAAAGCGUGGGGAGCAAACAGG
rnacentral:rRNA from 1 species